UACGUAGGUGGCAAGCGUUGUCCGGAUUUAUUGGGCGUAAAGCGCGCGCAGGCGGUUCGUUAAGUUCGAGGUGAAAUCUCCUGGCUCAACUGGGAGGGGUCUUCGGAUACUGGCGGACUUGAGGAGAGCAGAGGUGAGUGGAAUUCUCGGUGUAGUGGUGAAAUGCGUAGAUAUCGAGAGGAACACCAGCGGCGAAGGCGGCUCACUGGCCUCCACCUGACGCUGAGGCGCGAAAGCGUGGGGAGCGAACCGG
rnacentral:rRNA from 1 species